rnacentral:rRNA from 1 species
CCUACGGGGGGCUGCAGUGAGGAUUAUUGGUCAAUGGACGAGAGUCUGAACCAGCCAAGUAGCGUGAAGGAUGACUGCCCUAUGGGUUGUAAACUUCUUUUAUAUGGGAAUAAAAUGUUCCACGUGUGGGAUUUUGUAUGUACCAUAUGAAUAAGGAUCGGCUAACUCCGUGCCAGCAGCCGCGGUAAUACGGAGGAUCCGAGCGUUAUCCGGAUUUAUUGGGUUUAAAGGGAGCGUAGGUGGAUUGUUAAGUCAGUUGUGAAAGUUUGCGGCUCAACCGUAAAAUUGCAGUUGAAACUGGCAGUCUUGAGUACAGUAGAGGUGGGCGGAAUGCGUGGUGUAGCGGUGAAAUGCUUAGAUAUCACGAAGAACUCCGAUUGCGAAGGCAGUUCACUGGACUGCAACUGACACUGAGGCUCGAAAGUGUGGGUAUCAAACAGGAUUAGAUACCCUAGUAGUC